UGGGACCUAGGAGAUGGGUCUGCUUAUACCUAUCUAAACCCUAAACCAUUCCAUGAUAAGAUGGAUAAUUAUUAAUUUGGGGGUGUUUGGCCGGCGUUUCCCCUGUAAAAUAAUGAAAAAACGUCGAUGAUUACAUAAGGGACUCAUCUCCGAAGUAGACUACAUGGGUUGGGACUGGUUCGUAGGUGGUGCUGUUGAAACUAUGAUUAGUCUCUGCGGUUAACCGUUUCCUCACCUUUCCCUCCCACCCCUAAAUUUUU
rnacentral:telomerase_RNA from 1 species